UGGCAUUUAAUUGGUUUAAAUAGUCUUAGAUUCUGCUAAUAAUUACAUAAUAAAUGAUUACAACUCAUAUUUACAUAUAUAAAUACCAUUGGUUUUUCCUUUGAAAACCAGAAAAAAGAAUUUAAAAAAGCACAUAGAAAACCGAGAUGGGAAGAAAAAAACUAAAAAUCCAAAGAUUGGAAGACCUGAAAGCAAGAGAAGCAAAAUAUUCAAAGCGUAAAACAAGAAUUCUGAAGAAAGCUAAAGAACUUAAUAUAUUGUGUGAAGUUGAUGUUGUCCUUCUAUUUUCUUCGCCAUUUGGUAGACCAACUCUUUUUGUUGGUAAAAAUUCCAAGUAAAUUACUUCAUUCUAAUUUUCAUCUCUUAUCUGUAUUGAUAUUAUUAUUUUCUUUUACUAUUAAAAUUUCAGUUCCAUCAUCCUUAUUUUAGCUUUAUUUUUAAUUUCCUUUUCUAAUUUUUUUUAAACUGGUCAAACCAGUGGGUUAAGUAGUAUUCUUAAGAGACUGCCGAAUUUGUCAUUCGAGGAGCGCCAGGAAAGGUAAAUAAUGUUUAUAAAAUAUUGUAUUUUCUCUUUUUUAAACAAAAAAAAAAUCAAUUGCUAAUUUUUUUUCACCAGGAGGGCCUAUACAAUAGAGGUAUGUUCGAACACCGAUUUAGCGAUUUUUUAAAAUUAAAAAUAAAAAUUAUUUUUUGACAAUUAAAAGUAAUUUUUAAAAAUGAAGAUGUUGAAGAAAAUUUUUGAAAAUUCAGAGUCAGAGUUUGAUCCAUUAAGCUUGUCCCAUUAUGGGUUUCCUAAACUUGAAAAAUAAUGAUUCUUUUUUUUUCUUUUUUAUUCGUUUUCAGAUCCGAAUUUUUUAUUUUAUUUUAUUUUAUUUUAUUUUGCUCUAGUUAUACGAAGAUGAGCUGCAAGAGCUAAAGGAUAAACUUGUGGAAAAGAGCAAGAUACUAAGGUUUGAAAUAUUCUAGUAUUUAAAGAUUUUGAUUUGUGUAUGUGAAUGUCACGUCUUGAGAUUUAUUUUGGCUUUCCACAUAAAUGUUAUAUGUCGAGACCUACGCAUAGAUCAACAUAUUAAUUAAUUUUGAUUGUGUGCGAAAAAGGACAGAUUUUGGAUUUUUUCCUUCACUUUAUUAUUUUGUAUUUCUUCGGUGUAUAAACCGAUGGCAAAUAGAACAGAGAAAAAAAAAGGCUUACUGUAUCAAAAAAAUGAAAUCAAUACACAGGAAAAGUUUUUCUUUUUCUUCCAUUCUGUUUUCUUCUUCGAUGGAUUUUCUUUCUUUUUCCAUUUGUUAUUAACCUCAUAUAUAAGUAUAUAUAUAGAGCAAAUAAAAAAAAGGAGGGAGUUAUAGGUCUUACCUGGAGACGCCCUCGGAUCCGCGCGAAAAGGAGCCAAAAAGCCCUUCGCGUGAGGCUCUGACCACCGUUCACGAUGGAAUUGCGGCGGAGGAGCGGUGUAAAGAGCUAGGGCCGAAACCCUAGCAGAGAAGCCUCAAUUUUUUUUUAUUUCAAGAGCUGUC
rnacentral:lncRNA from 1 species